rnacentral:lncRNA from 1 species
GUGCAAGCAGAUUGGAGUCAGAGUACCUCAGAAAUGCUAAGGAAGUGGAGGCACCAGGUAUCUUUAAGGAGAGGAGUGGGUGGUAAGUAUAAAAAACCACAGAAUUGUUUCAAACUUUAUUAAGGAGGUAUUAGACCCCCAGAUCUGUUCUAUGACCCACUCAACCAGAAAACUGUUUUCCUUUAUUCCUCCCAGAAGAACAUGGGAGGUUUACCUUCUGGAGAGAUUUAUUUGGGGGAAGUUGUGGGCUUGGGUGUUCCAGGCAUAGAGAAAGCCAGGGGUGAAACAUGACCCAAAAGAAUUAGGUGAAAUUUAGAACCCUGAAUGCCUACUGUGUAGCCUGGCUACACAGCCCAGGCUACACAGUACUUUCGUCUGUGAGAACUCACAGGUAUACUAGAGCUCCAGGCAGGAAUAUACGUUUUGCCGAUGCAAUCUUAUCAGCCUAUGAACCAUGUCUGAUCUAGAAAGCCUUGAGGUCAGCCACAGCCUGUUCUGGUUGUAUGUCACUCAAACUAAAUUAAGCUGAAGGUGAUCCAGACGUGUUUUCAGGCCUUGAGAAAUCUGACUCACAGCACUACAACCAGCAUAAUCAACAGUCUACACUUCUGCAAUGGCCCCUAUAAUCCCUAAACCUAAACCUUGUGAGGGGGCCAAGUGUUGUACAGUGUCAUGGAUACACCUCUGGGGAAACAAUAGGUCCACAUUACAAGAGUACUGGUUUAAUAAAUUCUGACCUUCUUUUCUAAUUUUUCUCAGACCCAUGCAAGAACUCAGGAAAAAGUUAGCUGGCUGUACCUGCUAAUUAUCAUGACUAUAAUUGAUGAAGACACUGGAGCUAGAGGGAGAGGACAUCCACGCAAUUCAUGGGCCUCCAAGGCUGUCAACAAUCCAGAUGAGGAACAUGUGGCCUUUGUUGUGUUGAUUGAUAUUAUGCAGAACCAAUCUGAAGACAGUGGCUUGCCAAGCCAACCUGCUGCUCCCCGUGAAUCUUGGAAGACCCCAUUCAGGAGAACUUUGGAUUGUUUUACAAAAUGCUUUGGCUUCUCUUGAAAGGUAACAGAACAUAACAUUCUCAAGGAAAGAAGAAAAGUUUUGAAGCAUAACUGACCUUAACUUGACAAACUUGGAGGAAGACUCCAGAGAAUUCAUUUGAGUAAUUUUCAAAAUAUUCUAGAGUGAAAAUGUAUUAUUACUUGCUACAUAAAAUUAUUAAAAGGCAUUUAACAACACUUAAUUAGAAGUCUAAGUGAACAUCACAACUUAAAAAAACUUUUAUCAAAGCCUAUGUCUCUCAACUCCACAAGAUAAAAAAGCCAAAACCAUAUGCCACCACAAUCGCAUAUAUAUAUAUAUAUAUAUAUGCCUGUUUUUAUGCCAAUGCCAUACUGUUUUGACUACCGUAGUAGUUAUACAGUUUAUAUAGUAGUGAUAUAGUUUCAAAUCAGGAAGUAUAAUGCUUCCAACCGAGACGUAUAAUGCUUCCAACUUUGUUUUACUUUCUCUAGAUUGCUUUGGCUAUUCAGGACAUUUUGUGAUUCUACAUAAAUUUUAGGAUUGCUUUUUCUAUUUCUAUAAAAAGCCAUUGGGAUUUUGAUACAGACUGGAUGAAUCUGUAGGUUCCUUUGGGCAGCAUGGACAUUUUAACAGUAUUAAAUCUUCUAAUCCAUGACUUCUUCAAUUUUUUCCAUCGACAUCUUAUGGUUUUCUGUGUGUUGGCUUUUUAACUCUGGAUCAAUUUGUUCCUUGGUAUUUUUGAUGCAAUCAUAUUUUGGAUUGUUUCCUUAAUUUCUCUUUCUGAUCAUUUGUUAUUAGUGUGUAGAGGUGCAAAAGAUUACUUUACUUUGAUUCUGUAUCCUGCAGCUUUUUUAAAAUUCAUUUUUUAAUUUUUUUUUGGUGGAGUCUCUAGAGUUCUCAUAUGGAAUAUCACAUCAUUUGCAAAUAAACAGUUCUACUUCUUCCCUUCCCAGUUUGGAUGCCUUCUGCUUAUUUUUUCUUGGCUAACUGCUUUGGUUAAGACUCCUAUUAUGAUAAUGAAUAAAAGGGGGUGAGAGCGAACAUCCUUGUCUUUUUAUGGUCUUAGAAAAUUGCUUUUAGCUUUUCACCAUUGAGCGUGAUGUUAGCUGUGUUCUUGUUAUAUAUGGCCUUCAUUAUGUUGAGACGUAUUCCCUCUAUAGUCACUUCGUUGAGAGUUGUUGCCAUGAAUGGAUGUUGCAUUAUGUCAAGUGCUUUUCCUGCAUCUAUUGGGAUGGUCAUGUGAUUUUUUAUACUUCAUUUUCUUUUCUCUUUUUUUAUUAAGAUUUUAUUUAUUUAUCCCUGAGAGACACAGAGAGAAGCAGAGAGAUAGACAGAGGGAGAAGUAGGCUCCUCACAGGGAGCCCGAUGGGGGACUUGGUCCCGGGCCCGGGAUCAUGCCCUGAGUCAAAGGCAGCCGCUCAACCACUCAGCCACCCAGGCGUCCCUAUACUUCAUUUUCCUAACAUUGUAUCAUAUUGAUUGACUUGUAGAUGCUGAACCAUCCGUGUAUUCCUAGUAUCAAUCCCUCUUGUUUGUGGUAUAUCAUUUCUAGUGUAUUACUGAGUUUGGUUUUCUAAUAUUUUGUUGAUGUAUUUUGCAUCUAUAUUCAUCAAAGAUAUUGGCCUAUAAUUUCCUUUACUUGCGUGUCCUUGUCUGGUUUUGGUGUUAGGAUCAUGCUUGAAUCAUAAAAUGAGUUUUGAAGUGCUCCCUCCUCUUCAAUUUUUUAGGAGUGUUAGGGAAGAAUUAGUUUAUUUCUUCUUGAAAUGCAUGGUAUAAUUUAUCAGUGAAGCCACCUGGCCCUGAACCUGUGUUUGUUGGUAGGUUUUUGACUACUGACUCAUUCUCUUUAGUAGAAAUUGGCCUAUUCAGAUUUUCUAUUACUUCAUGACUCUAUCUUGAUAGGUUGUAUGCUUUGAGAUUUUAAGCAUUUUGUCUAGAUUAUACAAUUUGUUGGUUUAUAAUAGUUCGUGGUGGUCUUGUGAUUCUUUUUAUUUGUGUGCUAACAUUUGUAACAUGUCUCGUUUUUCAUUCAGUAUUUUAUUUCUUGGAACCCUCUCUUUUCUUGGUGAGUCUAGCUAAAUGCUUUUCAAUUAUUUAGUCUUUUUAAAAUAUUAGCCCUAUGUUUAUUGAACUUUUCUAUUGUCUUUUAGUGUCUAUUUCAUUUGUAUCCACUCAUAUUUGAUAUUUCUUUAAUUCUAUAAGUUGUGAGCUUUGUUCUUCUUUCAUAGUUUCUUGAUGUUUAAUGUAGGUUGAUUUGGGGGGAUCCUUCUUAUUUUCCUAGUAUAUAUAUCUAUUGCUAAAAGGUUCCCUCUUAGAACUUGCUGAAUCCCCUCAGUUUUGGUAUGCUGUAUUUACACUUUCAUUUGUCUCAAGAUAUUUUUUAUUUCCCUUUUGAUUUCUGCUUUGACCUAUUGACCAUUCAUAAGCAUGUGGCUUAUUUUCCACAUAUUUGUGAAUUUUCCAGUUUCUAUCCUGUAAUUGUUUUCUAGUUUUUAUCAUUGUAUCCCAAAUAGAUGAUUGAUACAAUUUUAAUCUUUUAAAAUUUCUUAAGAUAUCCUUUUGAUCUAAUAUAUGAUGUAUCUUAGGAAUGUUCCAUAUGUGUUUGAUAAGAAUGUUCGUUCCGCUGCUGUUAUUUAGAAUGUUCCAUAAAUGUCUGUUAAGUCAAUUUGGUGUAAUGUAUAGUUUAAGUGCAUGUUCUGUAAUUGAUUUUCUGUCAGAUCUAUCCACUGUUAAAAGUAAGGUAUUAGCAUUCCCCCAAUAAUUGUAUGCUCUUCUAUUUCUCUCAUCAGUGCUGUUAAUAUUUGCAUUAUAUAUUUGUGUUCAUUUAUGUGCACAAAUAUUUACAUGUAUGACUUCUUGUUAGAUUGACCCAUUUAUCAUUAUAAGUGACCUUUAUUGUCUCUUGUUUUGUCUUUGGCUUACAAUCUAUUUUGUAUUAUAUAAAUAAAGUUAUCCCUGCUUCUUAUUGUUUUCCAUUUGCAUAGAAUAUUAGUCCUUCCUUUUGGUGUGUGUAUGUCCUUAAAGCUGAAGUGAGUCCCUUGUUAGAAACAUAUAGUUGGAUCAUGCCUUUUUAAAAUUCAUUCAGCCACUCUGGUUUUAGAG